rnacentral:rRNA from 1 species
AUUGAACGCUGGCGGCAGGCCUAACACAUGCAAGUCGAGCGGAUGAAGGGGGCUUGCUCCUGGAUUCAGCGGCGGACGGGUGAGUAAUGCGCAGGAAUCUACCUCGUAGUGGGGGAUAACGUCUCGAAAGGGGCGCUAAUACCGCAUACGCUCUGAGGAAGAAAGCAGGGGGACCUUCGGGCCUUGCGCUAUGAGAUGAGCUUGCGUCCGAUUAGCUAGUUGGUGGGGUAAAGGCCUACCAAGGCGACGAUCGGUAACUGGUCUGAGAGGAUGAUCAGUCACACUGGAACUGAGACACGGUCCAGACUCCUACGGGAGGCAGCAGUGGGGAAUAUUGGACAAUGGGGGCAACCCUGAUCCAGCCAUGCCGCGUGUGUGAAGAAGGCCUCGGUU